AGAUAUAAACCUUUUAUAGAAAUCCUCGAUCGUUCGAUAGAGAGGGUAACGCUGAAAGUUUUGAAAAUGUACUGUUCUUUAUUUCAAGUUUAACCAGGUAAAUAGCUUGACUGCGGUUGAGAAAUGAUUCUGUUAAGAGGUUAAAGGAAAACGAGUCUGUCGAUUGGACGAUGCGAAAACGAGCAGAACAGUGUGCAGUUUCAAAGGUCGAAACACAGACGUGUUUAUGUGGAAAAACAGAAUAAUAUUUUCGUUCGUCGCGACGCGCCGCGCCGGUUAGCACACUCGACACGCUUCGCUCCGCUCCGCCCAUGCGGCUGACUGCAUGUGCAUGCACCAGACACAAUCGCGAGUGUAUUAUGACGUUAAUGCGACGAAAAUGCGUCGCGACCUUCAUCGUGGAACACACACAAUGGGUUAUCGAUAUUUUGGACGGCCAGACGUCUCGUCCUGGCGAGCGGCAAUAUACAUAUGUUUUAUUAAACGUCUCCUCCGUGUCCUCGCUCCAAGAUCCUCUGACGUGGGAUCCUCCAUCGAAGGGCGGUCAAUCGAUGCUUAACCCUUCAGUGUUACUACUUUUUAUUUUAAACGGAUAAAUUGUCGUGAAAGAAUUCGGAGCUUUUCAGUUUAAUUUCACUUAGAAUCAUCAUUUUUUUUUUAGUCAUCCUCUAUAAUUAUUCCACGCGAAUAAACGUUUAGUUAUUCGAGCGAAUUCGUUGGUGUUGGUGAUCCUUAACGUAUCCAAAGUCUCCAUUUAAAUAUAGAGUCACAAAUGAACGGGCCAAUUUUUGCGACCAGCGUAUUUUUACCGAGUGACAUCGGGUGGGCGUACACACCCACGUCGUACACGCGUUAUGUGUAUCGCACGUUUUCGAAGAUUAGAUAAAUUUCGCGUGAAAUUACAUCUGUACGAAAUCCGCUAACGUGUAUGAUUUCCACGAAAUUCUCGUCGUACAUGUGUGAAAUUGAUCAAAAGCCGUCGCACACUCUCUCUUUGUUCGAUUUCCAGAUUUUUCCACGAGCGUACGAUAAACAUCGAUGCAAUAUAAUGGAGAGAGCUCGAGAGCACUCGAAUUCUGGCCUCCGCCGACGAUUUAAUUUUCCUGCAACUUUGUGCGAUGGAAAAUAACAGGGCGAAAAGCUGGAGAGCGUUAUAGUUGGAAUAGUUUGAUGCAAAAGUAUCGUUCGAUGUCAUACUGUCUAUUGAUGGGCUAAUUACUUCGUGCAUACAGGGUGUUCCAGAAAUAACCAACAAUUGUCAACUGUUCAAGAGUAUUACACGGUUUAUUUUCAUAAUUUUUCAUUGCAAGGUACACCUUUUACUUCGGUUCAGGCUCUACAUCGUACGUCUACAUCAAGGUUGGCUCUCGUUGCCAGGCCAGUCCCUUUCGAGGCUGACUAACGUAGAAUUCUUCCAUUAAUCAUUCUACGUCCCUCGGUCCCAUUUCGACGAAGCCGGUAGAACCCGAACACCCGGUAUUUCCGGCCAUACCAGCCGUUCUGCUGUUGCUAACUGGCGAGCGGGGCAGCAACGGUUCGAAGGACACACAACUCGAGAAGAUUCGUCCGUACACUUGCAUCGACCCCUUGCGUGUGUGCACGUAUGUUGGGCAUAGGAUGAAAGAAGAAGGGAACAGCGUUGAAGAGAGAGAUCGAGAGGGGUCCCAGAGAAAGAGAGAUGGCAAGGGUGAAAGCGUGGAAAGGAGAAGAAAGGUCUGGGACCCUAUGAACGUGCCUCGUAGAUGCCCGUCUCGAUAUACCCGGCAACCGUCGAGCAGGGCAACUGUUAACCCUUUCGCGAGUAUCCUUUCCUUCUUUUUCGAAGAUUCGCUUGUUGCGCUGGAUUUAAUGCACAGGACGGACGGGAAUUGAACAAAAGGCAAAGAGAAAAUAUAAGAAGGAAUACACAUUCGAUGAACUUUAACGGAGAAUCGAAGAAGCGGUUCGCGUCGGGUCGAGUGGGUAGGGAGAGGAGGAAGGAAGAAA